CGGAGUUUGGCGGCCAAUCCAGGGCGUCUUCACGGACGGAUCUGGAGUGGCCGCCUUUGUGGAUGGGGGCCCAGUGUCGCUUCACUGCGUCAUUGUGGUCGCUGCCACCGUUUACUGUGAAAAAA
rnacentral:rRNA from 1 species